GAUCUCACCCGUGGCGGUUUUUAUAGAUAGUAAACGUCUCGGUGCUGCAAGAAAAGGUAAACCAUACACUUCAGCUGAGACCCAGAUUUCUUCACCGAAAAAGCUCCGGACAAAGUUCAAGUUUCUUUUAAUUGUCUAUCUACAUAACUGUGUCAUGCUGCACACAAACUCAACCAGGAUUUUGAUUUCGAUGAAAACCUCAAUUCAAGGACAAGCUGCAACAGUACAACAAGCAGAACUUCCGUUGGAGGCCUAAGGGAUGAACGUCAGGAAAAGGGAGAUGUUCUGCGACUGACUGUUCAACCCCGAUCAACAACUUAGUUUCAUGAGAAUGUCCCAGCUUGCUGAACUGUUGGAAUUCUUGAAAUGAUUUAGAAGCCGAAGGAACUGGCCUUGGAUCUCUUUAUAUCGAACUAAUAAGUUGACAUAUCGGCUUAGAAGAGAAUAUCCACAGGUCUCUUUCCUUGAUAUAUGCGACAUCAUCUACACCGCUACUUUAUCUGCUGGAUGUGUGGUUGAAUCUCUGGGGACUUCAGAGGAGGAUUCAAAACUGAAACUUUGGCUUUAGAAAGCAAGACAUACGCUCCAUCCUGUUGUUAUGCCGUUACUGCACAAGAUUUGAUGAGAACUUUGAUGUAGUGAUAACAUUUACUUGAAGUUGUAUUAGCACGACUAGUUAGCAUUUGACAUUAUAAUGAAAAUAAUGAGUAACUCUAGAUUUUUCAAAACUACAUAAUUGUAUCCUUCUGUUCAUUAGUGUUGGUUUUAUUCAUUUUAAUUCUUUUUAAUUAUUAAAAAUUAGUUUCAGUAGAAAGGCAAAUUCUGUGAAUUUUAACAGUGAGACUAGCCACAUAUGACAAGCCAAAUCACUCUCUUUAAUGUGUAAGCAUACAAAAUAGCAUGAGUUAUGGUUUUGUUUUCUUUUUAUUGAUAUACAUGCAAACAUUUUUCGGUGCUAAUCAAUGUAUCAAUAAAUAAAAAGCUGAAAUUUUCUUUGACAAAAGACUGAUCUUAAGGCUUUUCUCCAAACCAAGAUGGCUGUUUUGAUUAGAUAGCAAAUAAAUGUACAAUGGUUGAUUUUUGAAAUUAUUAAACCAGACUCUGACUUCUAUCUGAUGGUCCUUUGA